rnacentral:tRNA from 1 species
GCGGGUGUAGCUUAGUUGAUAGAGCAUCAGCUUCCCAAGCUGGAGGUCGUGGGUUUGAAUCCCGUUGUCCGCU